ensembl:lncRNA
CAUGAGGCCCUGGUGCUGGGUGGCAUGGGGUGUGUUGUGUCUUGUUUGUGGCUGGACUUUGGAAAGAUGGGGAAUUUGAGAAGGUGAAUGAAAGGCUCCUGAGUGCAGCAGUACUCAUCUCUGCAAUUCAGGUGCGCUGCUUCCAAUGUAGACGUGAGUGGGCAGCCCAUGCUUUUGUGACAACUGUGCCUGGUGAAGCUGAACAGAUCUCUGUGCCAGAAGUCAGCCUUGCAUUCCAGCAUGGACUGUGAUGGUUAGAGUGCUGUUAGUGCUGCUCCUUUCCAAACAGGGAAUUGCCUGGCUCACAGUAAAGCUGCUCCCAUAGUUGGAAGAUGCCUUUGACACAUUAAAGGUGCUUUUAAAAAGUUGUUUAUUUUAACUUUUUAUAUAUAUAUAUAUUUAGGUUUAGGAGGCACAUAGAUGCAAUAACUCACCAAACUAAGUGUUCUUACGUCAGUACAUAAGUGCUUAAACUUCUGUUAAGAGGAGCAUCAAAGCAGCAUAUCAACCAGGAAAACACUGCUUUUGUGCUCAUUUGAGACCAUGGCCAGAGCGAGAAGGCAGAGCUGCCUACAGAAGGUGCUCAAUGUGAAUUUGAGGGCACAACAUGGCUGGUGGCUGAACCAUCACCAUGGGAGCACAAAUCUCAACUUGCAGGAGUGAGAGGAAGGUCACACUGCCUCACACCUGGAAUGUCCAGGUUGGUGCACUGCAAUCCCAAUACUGGAAAUAUAUCCACACAGUGUAGGAGAGAUACCCACCCAACAUUGGAGAGAUACCCACUCAGUGUUGGAGAGAUACCCACCCAACAUUGGAGAGAUACCCCAAUGUUGGAAAGAUACCCACUCAACCUUAAAGAGAUACCCACCCGAUAGUUGGAACUAGCAGCCCGCAGGGAGGCAGUGGUAACCUCUCCAGCUCUCCCAGGUGAAGUCCUGCAGCUCAGGGGCUCUUUAGGAAGGACCUGGCCCAUCCCAUACCUGCCCAUAGCAGCGUAGAGCCUCAGGAUGUGCACUGAGGGCAUUGCUGAGUGCUGGGGUCCUGCUUCUGCUCUGGAACCCUGCACAAGGGGCUCAGCCCCUUCUGGAGGUUCUGUGAAAAUAAUGGGUGUGUUUUAUUUUCAGGUUUUAAACAUGUGAUACAACUUUUUCUUUCUUUCUUUCUUUUUCUUUUCUUUUUCUUUUUCUGAAGGUGGGGGGGUAGGUAAGCGAUUGUUCCCCGCGAGCACAAAUGUAUUUUGUUUGUUGUAAUUAAAAUGUUUUAAUGAGACAACCAUAAAAUCAACCAUUAAUUAUUUUUUUUUCAAACACUUCUGCUUCCUUUUGAGCUAGGUCUAUUUAGAAAUAGUUUAGAGAGUAGCCUGCAGUUUUAUUCUUUCUUCGGUAUUAUACACAGGAGUGGAGAAGUCAUUUAUAAAUAAUUACACAAUGUUUUGGGUCUUUGGGUUUGUAUAAUAUAUCAAAGCGAUUAGUACACGCAUUGUUCCAUUGUAAAUGGUUUUUUUCCCUUCCUUUCAGUUUCACUUGCCUUGUCUUCUAUCUAAACCUUUUUCGUGAAAUCCUUUGUCUUCCUCAUUCUUUUAGCUUGUUACAGUGCAGGGACAUUCUUCUUAUUCAAACACUCACAGCAUGAGCAAAGAAAGCUACUUCUGUCGCAUCUUAAGUUUUACCAUAACUUUCUGGCAUUUUCUUUUCUUCUAAUUUUCCCAGACUACCGAUAGGGUAAUGAAGAAUUAUAACGUACAUCAAUUAUUGGUGCUCACGGGGUAUUAUGCUCCUGAAUUCAAGGGGAGAGAAAGAAAAAAAAAAAAAAAAAAAAGAAAGAAAAAAAGAAAAAAGAAAAAAAAAA